GACGAACGCUGGCGGCGUGCUUAACACAUGCAAGUCGAACGGAAAGACCCUGCUUUUGUGGGGUGCUCGAGUGGCGAACGGGUGAGUAACACGUGAGUAACCUGCCCUUGACUUUGGGAUAACUUCAGGAAACUGGGGCUAAUACCGGAUAGGAGCUCCUGCUGCAUGGUGGGGGUUGGAAAGUUUCGGCGGUUGGGGAUGGACUCGCGGCUUAUCAGCUUGUUGGUGGGGUAGUGGCUUACCAAGGCUUUGACGGGUAGCCGGCCUGAGAGGGUGACCGGCCAGAUUGGGACUAAGAGACGGCCCAGACUCAUACGGGAGGCAGCAGCGGGGAAUAUUGCACAAGGGCCUGAAGCCUGAUGCACCAGCGCCUCGUGCGGGAUGACUGCCUUCGGGUUGUAAACCGCUUUCGCCUGUAACGAAGCGUGAGUGACGGUAAUGGGUAAAGAAGCAGCUGCUAACUACGU
rnacentral:rRNA from 1 species